rnacentral:rRNA from 1 species
UACGGAGGGGGCUAGCGUUGUUCGGAAUUACUGGGCGUAAAGCGCACGUAGGCGGCUUUGCAAGUUAGAGGUGAAAGCCCGGGGCUCAACUCCGGAAUUGCCUUUAAAACUGCAUCGCUAGAAUUGUGGAGAGGUAAGUGGAAUUCCGAGUGUAGAGGUGAAAUGCGCAGAUAUCGGGAGGAACACCAAUGGCGAAAGCGGCUCCCUGGUCCAGCACCGACGUUCAGGCACGAAAGCGUGGGGAGCAAACAGG